GUGGGGAAUCUUGCGCAAUGGGCGAAAGCCUGACGCAGCCAUGCCGCGUGGAUGAUGAAGGUCUUAGGAUUGUAAAAUCCUUUCACCGGUGAAGAUAAUGACUGUAGCCGGAGAAGAAGCCCCGGCUAACUUCGUGCCAGCAGCCGCGGUAAUACGAAGGGGGCUAGCGUUGCUCGGAUUUACUGGGCGUAAAGGGCGCGUAGGCGGACAUUUAAGUCAGGGGUGAAAUCCCGGGGCUCAACCUCGGAACUGCCUUUGAUACUGGGUGUCUUGAGUAUGAGAGAGGUGUGUGGAACUCCGAGUGUAGAGGUGAAAUUCGUAGAUAUUCGGAAGAACACCAGUGGCGAAGGCGGCUCACUUGACCGUAGUUGACGCUGAGGUGCGAAAGCGUGGGGAGCAAACAGGAUUAGAUACCCCAGUAGUCC
rnacentral:rRNA from 1 species